rnacentral:rRNA from 1 species
GAUGAACGCUAGCUACAGGCUUAACACACGCAAGUCGAGGGGUAACGAGAGGAAAGCUUGCUUUCCUUGUCGACGACCGGCGCACGGGUGAGUAACGCGUAUCCAACCUGCCCCCAACUAAGGAAUAACCUUGCGAAAGUAAGACUAAUACCUUAUAAUUUCCUCAGAUGACAUCUGACGAGGAAUAAAGAUUUAUCGGUUGUGGAUGGGGAUGCGUAUGAUUAGCUUGUUGGCGGGGUAACGGCCCACCAAGGCAACGAUCAGUAGGGGUUGUGAGAGGAAGGUCCCACACAUUGGAACUGUGACACGGUACAAACUCCUACGGGAGGCAGCAGUGAGGAAUAUUGGUCAAUGGGCGAAAGCCUGAACCAGCCAAGUAGCGUGCAGGAUGACGGCCCUAUGGGUUGUAAACUGCUUUUAUACAGGAAUAAAGUUAGCCACGUGUGGUUAUUUGUAGGUACUGUAUGAAUAAGGACCGGCUAAUUCCGUGCCAGCAGCCGCCGUAA